GGUUGGCGUUGGGUUCCAUUUCUUCUUUCUGGCCUGACGAUUAAUGAUUGUAACCUAAAAAAAUUGAAGAUUAAACUGGACGAAACUCGCAAUUUCAAGAGAGAGAGAGGCAAUAGAAACCAGAGGAAUUUGCAGGGAAAAGAUGUAAAAGAAAGAGGAUUCGUGUGGUGUUUUUAAGCUUUAGAGCAUGAGUGCGUAAGGAGCAAGGACUGUGCUUCACCCCAGGGGAAAGCAUGUCAAGGAGCCAGAGAGGGUAGGAGGAGAUGGUGAUGAGAUUAA